AAAAAAAAUUUUUUUUUGUAGAGACCAAGUCUCAUUACGUUGCCAAGGCAAUAUAUACCCAGGUCUUGAAUUCUUGUUCUCAAGUGGUCUUCCUGCCUUGCACCCCCAAAGUAUUAGGGUAACAUGUGUGAGUCACUGGAACCCCAAGAAAAUGUUUUAAGAGGCCAUUUUGAUGUAAAGGAUGGAUGCGAGGCUCCAGAGCAAGACCUGGAAGGAGGCUGUUGGAGUGACCUAGGAACUUUGCCUCAUCCUAGUCCUGGCUCUGCUUCAAGGGGGAGGUAAAUUAUAAUUCUUGUUUCAUGAUACCCUCAUCAUUGAAGAAGGCCAAGACAUCCUCAAGGUCCUCAACAUUGGAGCCCAGGAAUGGGAAUAUUGAAGCUGAAGCACCUCUAUUCAGCUGCCAUGUUGUGAGCUGUCCUAUGGAGAAGCCCAUGUAGCAGAUAUCUGAUGUCUUCAGCCAGUUGCCCGCAAGGAUCUGAGGCCUGCCAAUAGCCAUGGGAGUGAGCUUGAAGUGGAUUCUUCUCCAGUUGAGCCUUUGGAUUAUUGCAUUAUUGGCAGACACCUUGAUUGCAGCCUUAAAAGAGACCUUAAACCAAGAUCACUCAACCUAAACUAUGUCUAGAAUCCUGACUCACAGACACUGGGAGACAAGACUUCUUACUAAGAAGGAGGCAAAGCCAUAAACCCAAAGGGUUCCGAGAAGAGUCUACCUGGGUUCCAGUACCCAUAACCUGGAAGACAAGCCCAUUAACCUUUCAGAGGCUCAACUUCCUCAUCUGAUAAGGUAGGGUGUGGA